rnacentral:lncRNA from 1 species
UUUUAUUUAUAAAUAUAUCAGUUAAUUUUUAUUGAUAUAUUCGAUCCACCACAAACAUCUAUUUUCUUUUCACAAAUUAUGUUAUAAAACUUCACACUGCGAAACUUUUGGCGAAUCAAGGUAAACAAACUUUGAGGUACAUCAAUCUUAAAAUUUUAUUUUUGCAUUAGAAGAUUUAAAAUAUUGAUAAAAUCAGAAGCUAAAUUAAAUCAAUUGAUACUUAAGUUUAUUUAAUUAAUUUGUCAUUUAAUUUAUAACUAUUUUUUGAUGAUCUAAUAAGUUUUCCAAAAAAUUUAAUAAUAAAGUAUUUUUUAAACAAAUUAUAAAUAAAAAUUUGUAAGUUAAAUUUAAAAAUUAUUUUUUUGUAUCUUAUAAAAGAAAAAUAGUAAUACGAUCGAAAGAAAGAAAAAAAAGAUGUCUUUGUAUU